UUUUCGACGAGAUUUAUUCUAGAGAACAAAUAAGUGGUUCCGUAGUGACUUUAACUUCGUGAUUAUGCCCUCAAAGAGUACGUGGAGUUCCGACAACAGGCUGAUUCUUGCGUGUUGGAAUCACUUUGUGAUCAAGGUCCUUAGUGUCUGAUCGAUCUUUUUUCUCUGUUGACGUAAUUCAAGAAUCUGAGAAUAAUUAACUAACACUUGAAAUGGAUACUUUUAAAAAUCACUUAGUAUAGUUAUAAAUAGCCCUACCAAUGUCAAACAAACUGAUGCGUGUUGUGCAUUGUGUCACAAUCUAUAUGUUAUCACAUUUAUCACUAAAACUUUCUAAUAGCUUCUUUGAAGUGUUUUUCUACGAUGGCUGCAAGCGAACGGCCUUGAGAGAAAGAUAAUAGACCUAUCAUUGUCAUUUUCCAGCUGCGCAGCGCGGAAGCAUUUUUCGCGCAAACCGCGGAAUGUGUGACACGUUUAUUAACGUUUUGCCACAAUCAUGAAUUUGGGCAGUAAACAUUUUUUUUCAAAAUAACAUCGUUUGGCAUUUUUAUGGAAACCCCAUGGAAGGGGGAUGACCGAAGCAGAGACAGUGUUCACACAUCGUCGGUCCCUUAUUUACGUUUUCUCGGCUUCUCUCUGACGUUGAUGAUCACGUAAAAAGACGUUCUUAGGUAUGUAGUCAGGCGCCGAAAGUCGUGUCACGCGACUAAAUUAUGGAUCAUAAUCUGCUGUCGACUUUUUUGUCUCCAAUAACUGGAGAGUAGAUGAUUUAAUACAGCAAUAACUAUAUACUGUGUGUAGUGACUGCAAGGAUCACAAGUUAUGGAUGAAUUUGGUAUUUUGAAUGUCUCGUGCGCAGAGGCGUUAAUCCGAAAGUAUAUUAUAUUUCCGUUUAAAGCUUAAGAAUAGAACUGAUCCCAGCAAAAAUAUCCAUUUGAACUAUGAAUGGCAUUGACCUCGAAGAUGCGGGCUGGUAGUAAACAAUAACAGCAGCACAAGGCCAGGGGAGGCCGGAUGAAAAAUGAGAUGUUUGUUUGGAGAUUUUUUUUCGGUCAGGGCACAAAGCUCCACAACUGUCAUAAAUUACAGAAUUCUCCAAAACAAUCGCAUAUCGUCUGUCACUAUACUGGUCAUCGUGGGAUGUUAUUACAUGUGUGUUAUAUUGGAAUAGUACUUUAAAUACGGAAUGAAUUAAUCAUUCUUAACAACUGUUUAAAUGACCUGUGCCAUAGGUUCUACCUUAACUCAAUUGCAUCUCUCAUCCCAUAAUUUUUUUUAUAACUUCCUGGAUUCAAUAAGUAUUUUGCUUGUUGAAUAGUACCAAAUCAAAAUCAUGGCUUUCUGUUACAGGCAGUAAUUUUAAGGGGGGGGGGGAACGUAAUACGUGAUGUCAUCAUCUUAGAGAAGCUGAAUGGGUGUUAUCAGGGAGAUGUGUCUGCAUUUCAUUCAUGAUUGGUCAUUUCCUUUCCCGUUCCACGCCGCAACAAUUUGUCUGACUCAGAGUCAUUUGAAAGAGGAGAGGAUGAAAACAGAGAGUACAGCGGGGGCGACCCAGGCUAAUUAAAUACAAGAUUCACAUAAUGGUGCAAUGAUGAUAAAGACUUAUUCUUCAAAUUGGAAUUGGAAGAUUGAUUUCCAGCCAACUGUUACUGCUCUGACCUUGAACAGGGGUCAUGUAAAUAGAUUUGUAUUUAAAUACAAAGUAUCAUGAAGGAAGAUGGACGUUAACUAAUAAUAGAACAUUCUUGAUUGUUUGAAAUUGACACUUGUUGUGUGUCAGGAUGUGAUAUAAACAUUGUGUAUAUGUUUCCAAAAGGGACAACCUAGGGCACUUACGUAAUGUUCAACAAGAUUAGCCCAUCCAGCCUCCCACGCAGUGCUGGUCUUUGAAAUAACACGCUCUCCUACUAUCAAACUGCCAUACCAGAGGAUCAGUCAGUACAAUCUCUUCCAUAUUUUUCAUGCUGGAUCCAAGAAUAGACGCCCAAUGUUGAUUUCAAUCAAGAAAUAACAUAAUAGGCUUGUUUUAUUUUAUUUUUUUUACUAAAUAACAUACGAACAAUCGUUCUAUGUACCCAGACACUGACAAAUCAUCGGAGUCAGGGAUAUUGAACUCAUUCUAUGUAUAAUGCCUUGGACGAAAUUUGUGAUUUAAGAAAUAAAUUUCAUUUUUGAAAUACAUGAGGGUAUGAAUUGCGAUACACCGGCACAUUAGCGUGUCAUGAAAAGCAUGCUAACAUGGAGCGGUGCAGUUUAUAUCCUCGUGUAUUUUCUAAAAUGUGAUUUUCUCUUA